rnacentral:lncRNA from 1 species
GUUUUCACAUAAGUUAUAAAAAAAAAAUUAACAUUUUAUUAAUGAUUUUUAUACCAAGUCACAAUUUGAAUAUUUGUUUAGUGUAUGAACGCUUUAACUUAUGUUAAGAAAAAAAAAAUAAAAUAAAAUAACUAGAAGUAAAAUAAUUCGAUACAAAAUGGUUAAAAAUAAAAAGAAAGUUACUGUAAAAAGUUGUAAUACAUUUACUCAUCUGUUGCUUGGGCGCUUAAGCGUUUGUUCGUUCGGUCGGUCGUUCAUUCAUUCAUUCAUCCUUUUUUUUUUUUUUUUUUUUUCAAACAAUUAUUUUCCGUUUUUUUAAAAAAAAAUUCACAUAUUUUAUAUAUAUAUCAGUGCAAUGAGCUUGACAUACUGAUUAAGCAAAAACUGAUAUUAGAAAGUUAGUUAAAUUGAGUUUUUUUUUUGAAUUCAUAUUUAGUUGUUUCUUUUACAUAAAAGAGUUGUAAGAGCGUUGAAAAAAAAUAAUAGACAGAGUUUUAUGCAUCACAAGCGCACACACAUAUAUAUACAUCCUUAUAUUAUACAUCGUAAAUAAAAAAAGCAAAAGAUGGUUUCAUCAGAGUUUGAAAAUAGUAAAAUUAAGCUUCCUUAUGAAAACGAAAUUACGAAACAAAUCGUAAAUAAAAUUUUGGAUAAUUUAAAUGAUAAGCAACAAACGGCAUAUGUUGGAUAUAGCAUGAAUAAAAACCAAAUCGUAAAAUACUUUCAUGAAGCUGAGCAGUUAUUCAUUUAUCAUGACAUUAACAAAUCAGGUGAAAUCGACAUAAAAUUAUUUCCACAAAUGGCUAGACAACUAAAACAAGUUUAUAGUAUAAGAGAUGUUAAAGAAUUUGAAAAAGAAAUGUACAUAAAAAAAAUUGAUAAAAUGAAUUUGCCAAUUUUUUUGACAUUAUUAAAAAGAAGAAUGAAUCAACUUAUUGAUAGUGAUGAAACUUUUUUUAAACAUUUUAAUAUAUUAGAUAUGAAAAAAGAAAACAAAAUUGAUCUUAAAAAAGUAAGUGGUUUUAUUAAAACCGUGGGGGAUAAGUAGGCAAUUUUAAUCAUUAAACAUAUUUUUUUAUUUUUUUUAUUUUCCUGUACUGUAAUUAAAACUUUGUGUUAAUCGAUUUGGGUAUAACUAACAUUUGGGCAAUCAUAAAUAGUUAUUUUUAUGGUUAAGUCUGGUUUGGUACUUGUUUUGUUUUUUAAAUACAAAAAUGCCAAUAUA